rnacentral:rRNA from 1 species
AUGCACGCUGGCGGCGUGCUUCACCCCUGCCAGUCGAACGGGAAACCUUUUAAUGAAGCUUCGGCAGAUUUAGCUGGUUUCUAGUGGCGGACGGGUGAGUAACGCGUGGGUAACCUGCCUUAUACAGGGGGAUAACAGUCAGAAAUGACUGCUAAUACCGCAUAAGCGCACAGGACCGCAUGGUCCGGUGUGAAAAACUCCGGUGGUAUAAGAUGGACCCGCGUUGGAUUAGCUUGUUGGUGGGGUAACGGCUCACCAAGGCGACGAUCCAUAGCCGGCCUGAGAGGGUGAACGGCCACAUUGGGACUGAGACACGGCCCAGACUCCUACGGGAGGCAGCAGUGGGGAAUAUUGCACAAUGGGGGAAACCCUGAUGCAGCGACGCCGCGUGAAGGAAGAAGUAUCUCGGUAUGUAAACUUCUAUCAGCAGGGAAGAUAGUGACGGUACCUGACUAAGAAGCCCCGGCUAACUACGUG